CUUGCUGGCCUUUAUUGGCGAAGCUCGUUCGUAAAUGAUUAGCAUCUCAUAUUCGAAAAUCGGAUUGACUCAGUGUAAUAGACUAUUCGCUGAGGACGCUCUUUCGGGAGUGGCCGAGUUUUGUAAAGUAGAAGCUUCUAAUUCUAUUAGUCAACUUUAGAUUAGACCUCAGAUCAGGCAGGAUUACCCGCUGAACUUAA
rnacentral:misc_RNA from 1 species